CACACCGUAAACGAUGAUUACUAGAUUUUGGCCUUAUGGUCAGAGUCCAAGCGAAAGUGUUUAGUAAUCCACCUGGGGAGUACGUCCGCAAGGAUGAAACUCAAAGGAAUUGACGGGGGCCCGCACAAGCGGUGGAGCAUGUGGUUUAAUUCGAUGAUACGCGAGGAACCUUACCUGGGCUUGAAAGUUAGUGACCGAUCCUGAAAGGGAUUCUCCCGCAAGGGCACGAAACUAGGUGC
rnacentral:rRNA from 1 species